rnacentral:lncRNA from 1 species
GCUUUCAUAUUAAUUUUUUUUGGAUUUUUUUUAGAACAUACAACACAAUAGCUGAAAAUUAAGAAAGCUAAAAAAUAAAAGCUAAAAAGAAAAAUAGAACCAACCCAACGCAAUAGCCGGUUUACCAAAACCGGAACAGACCACGAAACCCUAAAACACCGCAAGAAGAGCAAAGGAGAUGACGGCCGCCACCGAAUUGAAUCCGCCGGAACCUUCCUCCGAAAAGGCGCCACGUUAACCGCGAUUCAUCGCCUAAAGCCGGAGCAUCGUAGCCAAACAAGCCGAGAGAUGAAGCACUUUCGUCAGCAAGGAAACCGGCGAAGCAUAGGGUGAUAGAUAUCACCGGACACAACAGAGAGACUCGUUUUUGGAGAGAAACUGAAAAAAAAAACAGAGAGCACAAAAGGGAAAAGGAAACCACCGAAGCUGAAAGGUAUCGCCGGCUUAGAUUUCGAGAUCCGGAAAGGAGACACAACGAAGGGUAGAGGAGAGGAGAUACAGAGAGGGAGCCCUCUCACGGCAGUGACGGCCGAAGCCCACCACCGGAGAGGCGAACGUCUUCACCGGAAAUCGCCUUUUUCUUUAGAGUGGAGAGAG